rnacentral:rRNA from 1 species
CUAAAAGCCAUCCCAGUUCGGAUUGCAGGCUGAAACCCGCCUGCAUGAAGUUGGAAUCGCUAGUAAUCGCGGAUCAGCAUGCCGCGGUGAAUACGUUCCCGGGCCUUGUACACACCGCCCGUCACACCAUGAGAGUCGGGAACACCCGAAGUCCGUAGUCUAACCGCAAGGGGACGCGGCCGAAGGUGGGUUCGAUAAUUGGGGUGAAGUCGUAACAAGGUAAC